AAGCAGACAAUAGAAGAUCUCAUCAUAAAUAUAAGGGUAUUGGAUCGCAACUGUCUUCACUGGGACAUCGAAUGAGACGUCAACAUAUGCACAUUCUUCACAUUUCACUCUCCUCUUCAUAUGGAAGUAAUGCAACUGGUAACCCACUGUUACAGAUGACACAGAUCACUAUAGUCUAAUACUAAUCAAAUCAAAUUUGUCACAACGCCUUAACCAACAAUGCAUUUAAGAAAAAAAGUGUUAAGAAAGUAUUGACUAAAAUAAACUGAAGUUAAAAAAAAAUAACAAUAGAAUGAAAAUAGAAAAAUAACAAAUAAUAAAUUAAGGAGCAACAAUAAAAUAACAAUAGCGAGGCUAUAUGCAGGGGGUACCGGUACAGAGUCAAUGUGGAGGCUAUAUACAGGGGGUACCGGUACAGAGUCAAAGUGGAGGCUAUAUACAGGCGGUACCGGUACAGAGUCAAUGUGGAGGCUAUAUACAGGGUGUUACGGUACAGAGUCAAUGUGGAGGCUAUAUACAGGGUGUUACGGUACAGAGUCAAUGUGGAGGCUAUAUACAGGGGGUACUGGUACAGAGUCAAUGUGGAGGCUAUAUACAGGGGGUACCGGUACAGAGUCAAUGUGGAGGCUAUAUACAGGGGGUACCGGUACAGAGUCAAUGUGGAGGCUAUAUACAGGGGGUACCGGUACAGAGUCAAUGUGGAGGCUAUAUACAGGGGGUACCGGUACAGAGUCAAUGUGGAGGCUAUAUACAGGGGGUACUGGUACAGAGUCAAUGUGGAGGCUAUAUACAGGGGAUACCGGCACAGAGUCAAUGUGCGGGGGUACAGGUCAGUCGAGGUAAUUGAGGUAAUAUGUAGGUAGAGGUACAUGUAGGUAGAGGUAAAGUGACUAUGCACAGAUAAUAAACAGAGACAGAGAGUAGCAGCAGCGUAAUAAUGGGCGGUGGGGACAAUGCAAAUAUUCCGGGUAGCCAUUUGAUUAGCUGUUAACGGGUCUUAUGGCUUGAGGGUAAAAACUGUUUAGAAGCCUUUUGGACCUAGGCUUGGCGCUCCGGUACCGCUUGCCGUGCAGUAGCAGAGAGAACAGUCUAUGACUAGGGUGGCUGGAGUCUGACAAUUUGCGCACGGCCCAGUACAUCACUGGAGCCAAGCUUCCAGCCAUCCAGGACCUACAGUUGAAGUCAGAAGUUUACAUACACCUUAGCCAAAUACAUUUAAACUCAGUUUUUCUUUACAUUUAAACUCAAUUCCUGACAUUUAAUCCCAGUAAAAAUGCCCUGUCUUAGGUCAGAUAGGAUCACCACUUUAUUUUAAGAAUGUGAAAUGUCAGAAUAAUAGUAGAGAGAAUGAUUUAUUUCAGCUUUUAUUUCUUUCAUCACAUUCCCAGCGGGUCAGAAGUUGUCAUACACUCAAUUAGUAUUUGGUGGCAUUGCCUUUAAAUUGUUUAACUUGGGUCAAACGUUUCGGGUAGCCUUCCACAAGCUUCCCACAAUAAGUUGGGUGAAUUUUGGCCCAUUCCUCCUGACAGAGCUGGUGUGACUGAGUCAGGUUUGUAGGCCUCUUUUUUGAAGAUAGAUUUGUAUUUGGCGCAUGUGAUAAAUACAAUUUUAUUUAUUAUUGAUGUUAUUUAUUAUUAUUGUUAUUUAUUAUUGUUGCCCAUUGUUGAUAUGCUGUAUGUGUGUGAAUGAGAUUUAAACAUGAAAACACAUUGAAAAGCUAUUUGGCUUCAGGUAUUCAAACACAACAGAGGCAUGGCAGUGCCACUCAUAGUCCUAGAUAUACCAAAAGCCUUAUGAAACAUUUUAAAGACAGAAUAACACAAUAAGGGCUACUUAUAUGCAGGCUAAGGUGUUUGAAUGUAAUCAUGUCGGCCAUAUUGGAUUCAGAAUAUAAUUGAUUUACACUAACACUCUUUGUAGUGUGUUGUACACAAUUCAUAUUUACAGGUGAUUUAACCGCCGACAAAUAUUGCAGUAUUAUGGCAGCCAUAUUGUAUUUUGGACGCCAUAUUAGAUUUUGACAAAAUAUAAAGAUAAUCUGUGAUGGCCCACUGAUUUAAUUACAAGACUGAGGGCUAAGAAUACAACAUCCUUUAAGAAAACCUUGGACCCCAACAAAAUGUAAUUCGAUGUCUGAGCCCACUUGUUUACAAAAUAAAAAAAUAUAAAUUUUUGUCAUGCAGGACCAUUACAAUACUGAAUAAGAGCACGUUUGACUUGGAAAGUUGUCUAUUGAACAGCAGUGAAGUUUAUAAUCAUCAUAAAUAUUCAUAGUUGAUAUUUCUGCCUAUUUUAUGUGUGUUUACUGGUCUAUCCAAGAUGCAUGAAGAUAUUCUGUUUGUUUGUGUACGUAUGGCAACAAUAUCAGCGCUUGCAAUAUUGGGUUACAUGAGCUAAUGUGCCUCACCUCCUCCAGCCAGGCGUUAUUCUGCACUUUUUGAGUUAAGGGGGAGUCACAAUAUCUAUCAAUUUAACAACUUUUGCAGUAAAAUAUUUUUACACAACCAUCCAUUUCCUAUAUGGGAGACCUUAGAGCUAUGGAAAAACAUGGUUGUGUUUUCUUAUAUACCUCAGUUAGCGGGUAUGUAACGGAAACACAGGGAGUCAGGAAGCAGGUUGAAAUGGUGAGUUCAAUAAUAACGAAAACGGAGAGAAGCAUCUGGACAAGAAAGCAGAACCAAUACUGCCUGAUGAGUUGUAGAGUACUAGAUAAAGGGGAAGUAAUCAGAGUAGUGAUGAGGGUUGCCAGGUGUGCGUAAUGAGGGUUGCCAGGUAUGCGUAGUUAGGAAACCGGAUUUUACUACUAUCUUAGUUUGUAUCAGUGCCUUCCAAAGUGUUACAGGUAUUAUUUGUGUCACCGCUCUUCGAACUUGGCGACUUCAAUCUCCAGACGUCUGCCUUCAAUUCAUUUAUUUCCAUCUCUCUCUUUCCCCUCCUUGCCUCAUUUGACCUCAUCCUUUCCCAGUCCCCUCCAACUCACAAGGCAGGCAAUACUCUUGACCUCAUCUUUACGAGAGGCUGUUCUCCUACUAAUCUCACUGGAACCCCCCCUCCAGGUCUCUGUUCUCCUACUAAUCUCACUGUAACCCCCCUCCAGGUCUCUGUUCUCCUACUAAUCUCACUGUAACCCCCCUCCAGGUCUCUGUUCACUAUUCUGUUUCCUUUCCUGUCUCCUUUCCUCCAACCCUAACCACUCAGCCCCUACCCAGAUAGUCAUGCACUGUCGCAAUUUUCUCUCUCUCCCACUAAUCAUCAAAUCAAAUCAAAUUUAUUUAUAAAGCCCUUCUUACAUCAGAUGAUAUCUCAAAGUACUGUACAGAAACCCAGCCUAAAACCCCAAACAGCAAGCAAUGUAGGUGUAGAAGCACGGUGGCUAGGAAAAACUCCCUAGAAAGGCCAAAACCUAGGAAGAAACCUAGAGAGGAACCAGGCUAUGAGGGGUGGCCAGUCCUCUUCUGGCUGUGCCGGGUGGAGAUUAUAACAGAACAUGGCCAAGAUGUUCAAAUGUUCAAAAAUGACCAGCAUGGUCAAAUAAUAAUAAUCACAGUUGUCGAGGGUGCAACAAGUCAGCACCUCAGGAGUAAAUGUCAGUUGGCUUUUCAUAGCUGAUCAUUCAGAGUAUCUCUACCGCUCCUGCUGUCUCUAGAGAGUUGAAAACAGCAGGUCUGGGACAGGUAGCACGUCCGGUGAACAGGUCAGGGUUCCAUUUAUGAACGCAGGCAGAACAGUUGAAACUGGAGCAGCAGCACGGCCAGGUGGACUGGGGACAGCAAGGAGUCAUCAUGUCAGGUAGUCCUGAGGCAUGGUCCUAGGGCUCAGGUCCUCCGAGAGAGAGAAAGAAAGAAAGAAAGAAAGAAAGAAAGAAAGAAAGAAAGAAAGAAAGAAAGAAAGAAAGAAAGAGAGAAAGAGAGAAUUAGAGAGAGCAUACUUAAAUUCACACAGGACACCGGAUAAGACAAGAGAAAUACUCCAGAUAUAACAGACUGACCCUAGCCCCCCGACACAUAAACUACUGCAGCAUAAAUACUGGAGGCUGAGACAGGAGGGGUCAGGAGACACUGUGGCCCCAUCCGACGAUACCCCCGGACAGGGCCAAACAGGAAGGAUAUAACCCCACCCACUUUGCCAAAGCACAGCCCCCACACCACUAGAGGGAUAUCUUCAACCACCAACUUACCAUACUGAGACAAUGCCGAGUAUAGCCCACAAAGAUCUCCGCCACGGCACAACCCAAGGGGGGGGGGGUGCAAACCCAGACAGGAAGACCACAUCAGUGACUCAACCCACUCAAGUGACACACCCCUCCUAGGGACGGCAUGGAAGAACACCCAUAAGCCAGUGACUCUACUGUCCUUUUCUAUCCUAUCAUUUCUUGCUUCUGCUAAAUCCUACCUCUUGUCUCCUGAUCCUGCCUCUUCGACCUUACUCUCCUCCCUUUCCACAUCAUAUGACUCGCACUGUCCCCAUUUCUCCCGGCCGGCUAGGCCCUCCCCUCCUGCUCUGUGUCUGAGUGACUCAUUGCGAGCUUACAGAACAGGGCUAACAGAACAGGGUAAACAGAACAGGGCUUACAGAACAGGGCUUACAGAACAGAAAAUGGAGAAAAACUGAACUUCUGGAGGACCAAUCAUCCUUUCACUCCCUCCUCUCUUCCUUCUCUUCCUCUGUAUCUGCUGCUAAAGCCACUUUCUACCACUCUAAAUGUCAAGCUUCUGCCUCUAACCCUGGGAAACUGUUUUCCACCUUCUCCUCCCUCCUAAGUCCUACCCCACCCUCCCCCUCCCUCCUCCCUCUCUACGGACAACUUUGUGAAUCUCAUUGAAAGGAAGGUUAACGUCUUCCGCUCCUCAUUCACUCAGCAUAUUGAGUCCACUGGUCCCACUCAAACAGAACUACCCUACUCCUUGACCUCUUUCUCCCCUCUUUCUCCAGUUGAAAUCCUGCAAUUAGUGAGGUCCGGCCUGCACAACAACCUGCCCGCUCGCCCCCCAUCCCCUCCUCCCUUAUUCCAGACUAUCUCUGGAGAUCUUCUCCCAUUCCUCACUUCCCUCAUCAACUCAUCCCUGACAACAGGCUGCAUCCCCUCCUCCCUUAUCCAGACCAUCUCUGGAGACCUUCUCCCAUUCCUCACUUCCCUCAUCAACUCAUCCCUGACCACUGGCUGCGUCCUCUCUGAGUUCAAAAUGUCCCGAGUCGCUCCCCUCCUCAGGAAACCAACACUCGACUCCUCUGAUGUCAAAAACUAUAGGCCUGUAUCCCUUCUUUCUUUUAUUUUGCUGCUAAAGUUAAGUACACCCCAGUUUGUUGGCUGUACACAUUGUACACCACAGCUUAUUGGCUGCACACAUAAGACAUUUGGCUGGGACAUGUUGUCAUGGUAAUUCCCCUUCCUUCAAUAAAAGCUUUGCAACAGCCUCAU
rnacentral:lncRNA from 1 species